rnacentral:lncRNA from 1 species
GCCUGGAGAUGGGGCCCAGUACUCUCAGCGUUCCUAACGGAUUCCCUGGGAAUUCUGAUAGCCAAGUUUGGAAAGCGUGGAAGUCAGAAUGUGAUGCAAUCGAGCAGGCUUCCACCUUGCUCGUUACAGUCGCAUUCCACACAUGCUUUCUGGUGACAACACCCACAUCACCCUAGGAACAUGGGUGUUCCUAACUUGUCAGAUCCUCAUGCACCCCGGGCCCUGGGAGGACGUUCCUGUCACUGGCUGCUUCUACCCUGAUUUCGUCCUCAGAGUAGCAGUCCCGAGGUUGAGUGUGACCCCAGAUCACCCCUCCCGUGGAGGUGCUUCUGCUGGGGAGGACCCGCAUGCUUGCUUGUGUUUACGCCUGGGGAAGCCCCUCUUGGCAAGAUGCUUGGAAGAGGCUCCAGAAGGCAGAGCUCAGAGGACGACUUGGUGUUUCAGAAGGAUUCACUUCAUGGUAGGAAAUUCUUUCCGAAGGAGAUGUCCACCAGCAGUGCCCAGAGUGAGCCCUGCCCAGAAAACCCCACCCCGCCGUCCCCGCACCUAGCACGAGGGAGCAGAACCACACUCCUGCACCUUCCGUGUUCCCGGCCCUCUACGUAAGCAAUCCCGUUGAAUCUUCCAAACAGCCCUGUUGACGUUGUCCUCGGUUUACCGAUGAAGAAUCAGGCCUGCAGAGCGUAAGUCAUUUGCCCAAGGUCACAUCUAAAAAGUAGUGAAGCCAGAUAGGUCCUGCUCUUCCCCACCUGCCCAGCUGUCCCCCACCCCAGAAUUAGAAAGUAGCAAGCUGAAGCUGCAUCUUGAUCUCCCUGAGGUGUCAUCAAGAAAACACAGGAGUCAGAGAUGAAGCCUCCAGCCACAGGGAAGUUUGACCCACCUCGUGCUCCAAAACCCGUUUGGGCGACACAAGGUGUGUUUCCCUCCUGAGUCAUGUUCACCACAUUUUGCCUUGAAAGAGAAACUGCUCGUGCAUCUAGAAGUAAACUUGCAAAGGCUCCCGUUUCAGCCUGAAAUUUUUUUUGUAAACCAUUUCAGCAAAUAAAGUGUCGGCGUUUGCAUGAGCAGCCUCCCAGCACAGAAGAGGAUGCACGGGGAUCUGACGCUAAGAGACAAGCUCUCCCACACGCGAUGAGGAAACUGAGGCUCAGAGAGGUGAAGUCACUUGCUUCGAAGCACAAAGGGAUGGGA